rnacentral:rRNA from 1 species
CGUGCCAGCAGCCGCGGUAAUACGUAGGGCGCGAGCGUUGUCCGGAAUUAUUGGGCGUAAAGAGCUUGUAGGCGGUUUGUUGCGUCUGCUGUGAAAGACCGGGGCUUAACCCCGGUAUUGCAGUGGGUACGGGCAGACUAGAGUGCAGUAGGGGAGACUGGAAUUCCUGGUGUAGCGGUGAAAUGCGCAGAUAUCAGGAGGAACACCGAUGGCGAAGGCAGGUCUCUGGGCUGUAACUGACGCUGAGAAGCGAAAGCAUGGGGAGCGAACAGGAUUAGAUACCCUGGUAGUCCACGCCGUAAACGAUG